rnacentral:rRNA from 1 species
CACGUAGGGCGCAAGCGUUGUCCGGAAUUAUUGGGCGUAAAGAGCUCGUAGGCGGUCUGUUGCGUCCGCUGUAAAAACUCGGGGCUUAACCCCGAGCCUGCAGUGGAUACGGGCAGACUAGAGGUAGGUAGGGGAGAAUGGAAUUCCCGGUGUAGCGGUGAAAUGCGCAGAUAUCGGGAGGAACACCGGUGGCGAAGGCGGCGCCCUGGCUCGCAACUGACGCUCAGACACGACAGCAUGGGGAGCGAACGGG